rnacentral:rRNA from 1 species
UAGGGAAUCUUCCGCAAUGGGCGAAAGCCUGACGGAGCAACGCCGCGUGAGUGAAGAAGGUCUUCGGAUCGUAAAACCCUGUUAUUAGGGAAGAACAAAUGUGUAAGUAACUAUGCACGUCUUGACGGUACCUAAUCAGAAAGCCACGGCUAACUACGUGCCAGCAGCCGCGGUAAUCCGUAGGUGGCAAGCGUUAUCCGGAAUCAUUGGGCGUAAAGCGCGCGUAGGCGGUUUUUUAAGUCUGAUGUGAAAGCCCACGGCUCAACCGUGGAGGGUCAUUGGAAACUGGAAAACUUGAGUGCAGAAGAGGAAAGUGGAAUUCCAUGUGUAGCGGUGAAAUGCGCAGAGAUAUGGAGGAACACCAGUGGCGAAGGCGACUUUCUGGUCUGUAACUGACGCUGAUGUGCGAAAGCGUGGGGAUCAAACAGG